rnacentral:lncRNA from 1 species
CACUAAGGUUUCUGCUCACUGUGACCUUGAAUUGCACUCUGUCCCCUCCCCUGACCUCUGGCUUUCUCUGCACAGUUUCAGUCCAACCUUCCUGAGAUAGAAGGUGUGAUUGGCUAUGUCAGUCACCCUUCAGUAGAGAUCAUCCCUGACCAGUGUGUGGCUUUGUGCACACUAGUCCUUCUUGGCCUGGGUGCCUGGCCUAGACUGCACAGCUGUGACUACACAAUGGGGAGCAGAGCAGCCCACAUCUCCCCCUCAGAAGGGCACUGGGGAGUGGCAGCCUUCUGAAGCUGGCACCUCGUAACCACAGGCCCUGCCUGGAGCUUCCCCGGUCAGUCCAGGAGGUGAGCACCUGGAUGAGGGAUGGACAGUGAGCCCAGGGUCAGCCAACGUGUCCUGUCCAUCAGUCCCUGUGCCAUCAGCUCAUUUGUGUUCCUCUGUGCACUGGCACCAGGAAUAAAUGUGAAGAGAGUGUUGGAACCAGUUGAGAAUCCAUGUCCAGGUACCAGCUGGACCAUGUUACGCCUGUGUGGCUGGGGACCAGGGAGAUGGCAUAUCAGAGUGGGUAAAAGAACAGACCGGAGCCUGACUUCCUGGAUUCAAACCUCAGUCUCACCAACCAACUUUUUUCUAUGAGUUUCCCUCCAGGAACAGGCUGAUCACAGGUGGGGAACACACCUACAAAGUGUCCAUCACAGCUGACAAAGGAAUGGAACAGUAAAAGACCCUGGAGUCCAUCAGGACUGAAGUAAACCCCCUCCUUACUCCCCAUUUUGCCUAUAUCUUCCUCAAGAUUCUGCAGUCCUUGAAGAUGGGUUUUUGAGACAUUAGUCUUCCAUCUUCCUGAUUGUGACAGCUAAUUGAAUUAAAUCUUCCUUUCUUGAUCCCUAAUUCGUUGUGAUUAAUUGACUUCUCUGGAGUGAUGUUAUAGGCCAGUCUCUGUGAGAGGAUGGAGAAUUGGAGGAAGCCUCAGCCUGGUCCAGGGUCACCCUUCCAGUGGCCGAGAAGAUACUCCAAAGUAAGGGUCACCUGCUAUUUGGUCCUGAAGUCCCACAUGGACAGCAUGUGAGAAUGUGAACUCCAGGAAGUGUUGCCUAGUGCUGAGAAUACUGCACGGCCCAUACGGGUUCUCGACUGGCCCAGUGCUCACCUCUUGAAGGGAACUUCAUGUGCUGUAGAACUUGUAGACAACGUAGGCUGGCACCAGAGCCAUGGAGGAGAACGUGAUGCCCCACCCAACCUGGUUGUCCCAGAGUGGGAAGAUGUAGUCAUUACAGGUGAGUGGCUUAAAGUCGAUGAUGCUCACCACCACCAUGUGUAAAUUAAUAAAAGAAACCUCAACUAAAAUUGGAGUCUGGAAGACCUGUAGAGGGAGCUCUAAUGCCUGCCACCCAUUGUCAAUACCCCAAAGAGGAAAGGACUUACCUGGCAUCUCCAACAGCAAGUUGGCUACUACUUUACUACCCCAGCAGGAGGAAGGAAGAAUUUCUUUCUGUCCUUCAACAAGCCCAGCCAAUGGAAAAUACCACAGCUCAGCAAAUGAGAAACCAUCAUCACCCUGGACUCUUACCCUCCUCCAAGGAACUUUCACAGAACAGCCCUCUCUACUCCCCUUUUUUCUCUUUAAAAGCACAAUCCCCUUCUCUGUUCUCCGGCCUUGCCGGUGGUUUUUGCCAUAGCUUGCUUGUCCCAAACUGAAUUCCUCUGGCUAUUCCUGAAUAAACUCAAUCUGCU